rnacentral:rRNA from 1 species
UACGAAGGGUGCAAGCGUUACUCGGAAUUACUGGGCGUAAAGCGUGCGCAGGCGGUUGUGUAAGACAGAUGUGAAAUCCCCGGGCUCAACCUGGGAACUGCAUUUGUGACUGCACAGCUGGAGUGCGGCAGAGGGGGAUGGAAUUCCGCGUGUAGCAGUGAAAUGCGUAGAUAUGCGGAGGAACACCGAUGGCGAAGGCAAUCCCCUGGGCCUGCACUGACGCUCAUGCACGAAAGCGUGGGGAGCAAACAGG